CUUCCAAUUUUCCAAUAAUCUCAAUCCAAAAAAGUGUUAAAAAAGAGAGAAAGAAAUCCAUUUUCCCCAUUUGGGUUUCAUCUCAAAAAACCUCUAUUUUCAAACAAAAGCAAACAUUCUGACACAAAAAAAUAAACACUCACUCAUCUCUUCCCUUUGAUUUUUUCUUCACACACAAGCAAAAAUCACUUCAAAAAUUGGUCUUUAAAGUGUUUUUUCCCCUCACAAAAAAACCCAUCUCUUUAGAACCUCGAAAUUUUCUUUCUUUCUUUCUUUUCUCUCUCCUUCAUUUCAAUGGAGGAAGUUUUUUUCACAUUCCAAAUGGGUAAUUUUUGGCACCAAACAACAUCCCCUUUAAUUGCUCCAUUUUUGAAACUUUUUGUAAGUAUUUGUUUGGUAAUGUCUUUAAUGCUCUUUGUUGAAAGAGUUUAUAUGGGCAUUGUCAUUCUCUUUGUCAAACUCUUUAGAAAAAAUCCUCACAAAACUUACAAGUGGGAGCCUAUUAAAGAUGAUCUUGAGCUUGCUCACUUUGCUUAUCCCAUGGUUCUCGUUCAAAUUCCAAUGUACAAUGAAAAGGAGGUUUAUCAAUUGUCAAUUGGAGCAGCAUGUGGACUUUCAUGGCCAACAGAUAGAAUCAUAAUUCAAGUUCUUGAUGAUUCUACCGAUCCUUCUAUCAAGGAUCUAGUGGAAUUAGAGUGCAAAAGAUGGGCAAACAAAGGGAUAAACAUAAAAUACGAGAUCAGAGACAACAGAAAUGGGUACAAAGCAGGAGCUCUAAAAGAAGGAAUGAAGCAUAAUUAUGUUAAACUCUGUGAUUACGUUGCUAUUUUCGAUGCCGAUUUCCAACCAGAGCCCGAUUUUCUUUGGCGUACCAUUCCAUUUCUCAUAAACAAUCCUGAGAUUGCUCUUGUUCAAGCUCGUUGGAAGUUCGUGAACUCAGAUGAAUGUUUAAUGACAAGAAUGCAAGAGAUGUCAUUGGAUUAUCAUUUCAAAGUGGAGCAAGAAGUUGGAUCUGCAACUUAUGCCUUCUUUGGGUUCAAUGGCACAGCAGGUGUUUGGAGAAUUGCUGCACUGAACGAGGCUGGAGGGUGGAAGGAUCGGACCACUGUUGAAGAUAUGGAUUUGGCUGUUCGAGCUAGCCUCAAAGGCUGGAAGUUUGUCUAUGUAGGCGACCUCAAGGUAAAGAAUGAAUUGCCUAGUACCUUCAAAGCUUAUCGGUAUCAGCAACACCGGUGGUCUUGUGGCCCAGCAAACCUCUUGAAAAAGAUGGUCAUUGAAAUCAUGAGGAACAAGAAAGUCUCCCUGUGGAAGAAGCUUUACCUGAUCUACAGCUUCUUCUUCGUUCGAAAGAUCGUUGCCCAUAUCGUCACGUUUGUCUUUUAUUGUGUCAUUUUGCCAGCUACAGUCUUGGUUCCUGAAGUAUCGGUACCAAAAUGGGGAGCUGUAUAUAUUCCUUCUACGAUCACCCUGCUAAAUGCAGUUGGAACUCCAAGGUGGUCGUCUUGCCUUUCUGUUUUUCGAUAUCAUUCCACCUUAUCAUUUUCUGGAUUCUCUUCGAGAAUGUCAUGUCACUUCACCGAACAAAGGCGACAUUCAUUGGUCUGUUGGAAGCAGGGAGAGUAAAUGAAUGGGUCGUCACCGAGAAAUUGGGAGAUGCGCUAAAGACUAAACUGGGUUCCAAAGCACCCCGGAAACCUCGUUUUAGAAUGGGAGAAAGACUCCAUAUGCUUGAGCUUUGUGUUGGAGGCUACCUCUUCUUCUGUGGCUGGUAUGAUCUCAACUUUGGGAAGAACGGAUACUUCAUCUACCUCUUCCUUCAAUCGUUCGCUUUCUUCAUCGCUGGAGUCGGUUACGUCGGAACUCUGGUUCCCAACUCUUAGAAGACUCAUAUACUCAACCUCACACUCAAUUAUUUAUUCCACACAUUGCUUCCCUAUGUGCCACAGAAAGAAAAAUGGUUAGAAGAAUCAUCUAGGGAAGUUUUUUCCUUUUUUUUAACUUGUUAUAUACAUAAUUUUUUUAGUUUUGUAUACCAAAAUAUUGUUGUUUUUUUUCUUUGUUGAAGGAGAGUGUUGAUUCAAAAUUGUUGUGUUGUAAUGGUUGUGAAAAAAAAGGGAUUAUAUGAAGAAAGAUCAAACAAUAAGAUGAGCCAAGAAUUUGUGAGGCUCCUCUUUCAAAAUGUUGCCUAUAUAUAUAUACGAACUUUCGGCAGAACGGAAUCAAUGGUGUUUAAUGAGAAAAUGUUCGAAGUCUUUGGUCCUUGUUU